CCCUUAGAUGUCCUGGGCCGCACGCGCGUUACACUGAUGCAUUCAACGAGCUUAUAACCUUGGCCGAGAGGCCUGGGCAAUCUUGUUAACGUGCAUCGUGAUAGGGAUAGAUUAUUGAAAUUAUUAAUCUUGAACGAGGAAUUCCUAGUAAACGCAGAUCAUCAAUCUGCAUUGAUUACGUCCCUGCCCUUUGUACACACCGCCCGUCGCACCUACCGAUUGGAUGGUCCGGUGAAGCCUCGGGAUUGUGGUUCUUGCCGCUUUAUUGUGGCGUGACCGCGAGAACUUGUCUAAACCUUAUCAUCUAGAGGAAGGUGANGUCGUAACA
rnacentral:rRNA from 1 species